UGGAGAUGGUGAGAAAGAGUUGGAUCCUCCAUACGUUUUGAAAAUAUAUUAAUACUUAUGGAUGGAGUAGAUGUGAACAUGGAUUUAUAUAAAGAAAAGAGAGCAGUUAAGAAAAAUUCCAACUUUACCCUCAGUAACCAGAAAGAUGGAAAAGCAUUGGGUGGAGCAUUUGGAGCACAAAGAAGAGGUCACAGGAGCACACAGCAAGAAGGCAGCCAUCUGCAACCCUGUGGAGGAGACCUCCCCAGACAUUAACCAUGCUGGCACCUUGAUCUUGGACUUCUAGUCUCUGGGACUGUGAGAAAAUACAUUUCGGUUGUCUCAGCCACUCAGUCUGAAGAAUUUUGUUAUGUCAGCUCGAGCAGAUUGAUGCGGCUAUUGAGAUACAGCGGUUUCUAUUCUGUUUAUGUUUCCUUGUUUUGUUUCUGUUGUUGUUGUUGUUGUUUUGUCCUGGGCAUGUAGACCAAAGCCAAUAGGCAAGGUCACUUCAUUACUAGGAACCAAGUCUAAUCAUUGCACUAGAAAAUACUUAACUUUAUGCAUCCAGCUUUUUAGAAAAUUGUAUUUCAACUCAUUACAGGAUUUUCAUAGUGUAUCACAAGAUUUAUGUUGAGAGGAAAAGAGCCCUAAAGUUUCAAGAUAAUUGAAUUCUGGAAAAUGAGAAAAGUAGUCAAUUUUUAUAAAUUAGUAGGUAGCAUCUAUUUUUUCUUUUUUUGGUACUAAAAUUAUUGCAUUUUUAUUUUUACCUUAUUUUGUACCAAGAUGGGUCUAAAUGUCAUGGUGACUCAUUUCAAAACUUGCAUUUUCAUUUGUGAUUAAUCCCACCUACACUGAAAAGUUUUUGCUUGAUUUUUCUACUGAGGUGUGGGUUCCAAGCCUCGGUAUCCUAUGGAUGUACAAUUGUCCAAUGUAAGUUGUCAACUGUUAUAUUUGGGAGUGAAAGUAGAAACUACAGGGAUCAAAAAUGAGUUGGCAAGUUUUCUUUUCCUGAAGGAUGAAUCACUGGAGAAGUGCCAGUGAAUAGAAAAAAAAAAUUUCACCAAAAGAAAUAAUAACCAACAAGCCAUGUUCUACUGUCUUAAAACAAAGAAAAGCCAUUUAUCUCAGGGCACAUAUUGAUGCUGAAAAUGAUUCAACUUCACCACAUCAUAAGCGGAACCGUCAGAAGCAUAUUCCUGGAAACCAAAGCCUCUUGGGAGAAAGUUCAAGAAGCUGAAAAGAGCCAUGCAGUUCAAUUAUCCUGAUUCUUCAGUUUCCAUCUGUAUGAAACAGGCCACGCAGCAGAGACAUAGACACAUCAGAAUUCCCAUCUGCACUGCAAUAAACACUACUUAGGAGAAUCAGUCUCAGCUGGACCAAACCUCUCAGUCCCACUCGAUGUCAUCUGUGCCAAGCCAAGGUACAUAGAGAAAAAGAAAACCUCACUGAUAUGGUAGAUGGUGGGUGUGAAAUUUCUAACACUGUUACCUGUAAUCACUAAGAUAAGAUGCAUGAGUUGUCACAGUUAACUCUCCCACUGAACUAUGCCUAAAGC
rnacentral:lncRNA from 1 species